AUAACUGUUGUGGGCAGCCGUGCCGACCCCUGGACUUGCCGUGGUAGUUGUGCUGCCACUGGUCAAUGUCCAGGGGACGACAGUGUGUCACGCACACUGUCGUACGCACACUAAGCGCGGGCCGCUUAGUGUGUGUUGUGCGCUCGGACAAGCAAGUGUUGCGAGCAGCCGGCGAGCAGGGCUCCCGGCAGGGCACGGUACGGCUGGCGCGCGGCUGAGUAUUUUAUUGUGUAUUGUGCUUGUCAUUGUUAUUUAUUAUGUGUACUGUAAUAUUAGUGUUUUUAAUAAAGUACCUGAGAGCAAGCCAAAGACACAACAGUGGCGACGAGGAUGGGAUCCUCUUGCGUAAGGAAGAUCCCUAGAAGAACCCGCGGUCACCAUCGCGAUCGAGCGCGUCGGUUGGAGCCGGCGCCAUCGCGAUGGCACGGGUCCCCGCGACAGUGGGACGCCGUUCGACAAGGACCGCUGCCGCCGCCGCCGUUAAGAUCGUGGCCCCGGCUGUCGUCCCGCGAUGGGGACAGAAGGGACAGCCGCACACACACACUCGGCGAUGUUUGAUUCGCCGGGCUGCAGGCCCAGGGAGCGCCGGCAAUGGUAAGGUCGAAGCCUGAUUGCCGGGCCAUCUGCGGCGACGCUAGGUGUCGUCGGGCUGCAGCCCAAGGAGCGCCGGCAGUGUAAGAGGCGAAUUGUCUUUCUGCCUAGCUGCCGGGCCAUCAUUGGUGACGCGAGAGGUCACUGAGUUGCUGCCGCUGUGUUCGACGGAGAGGGGGCGAGAUGCCAUGCCCCGCUGCAGCCGUCGUGUUGGACGGAGAGGAGGGCGAGGUUCCAUGCCGCCCCGCUGCAGCCGUCGUAGACCAGUGAGAGGGGGCGAGGUUCCAUGCCGCCCCGCUGCAGCCGUCGUAGAACAGUGAGAGG